AUGAGUUAUAUUUGUAAGUCGCUCUGGAUAAGAGCGUCUGCUAAAUGACGUAAA
rfam:Salmo salar isolate Sally breed double haploid chromosome ssa07, whole genome shotgun sequence.